rnacentral:rRNA from 1 species
GACGAACGCUGGCGGCGUGCUUCAUACAUGCAAGUCGAACGAGAAUCUUAACUUCGGUUGAGAGGAAAGUGGCGGACGGGUGAGUAAUAUGUAGAGAAUCUGCCCUUGAGUGGGGGACAACAGAGGGAAACUUCUGCUAAUACCCCAUAUGAGCCAAGCUGAAAUGCUUGUCUUGAAAACUCCGGUGCUCAAGGAUGAGUCUGCAUCUGAUUAGCUAGUUGGCGGUGUAAUGGACCACCAAGGCGACGAUCAGUAGCUGGUUUGAGAGGAUGAUCAGCCACAAUGGGACUGAGACACGGCCCAUACUCCUACGGGAGGCAGCAGUAGGGAAUUUUGCGCAAUGGGCGAAAGCCUGACGCAGCAACGCCGCGUGAUUGAUUAAGCCCUUCGGGUGUAAAGAUCUGUCAGUAGGGACGAAACUUGACGGUACCUACAGAGGAAGCACCGGCUAACUCCGUG